rnacentral:rRNA from 1 species
GACGAACGCUGGCGGCGUGCCUAAUACAUGCAAGUAGAACGCUGAAGAGAGGAGCUUGCUCUUCUUGGGUUAGCUGCGAACGGGUGAGUAACGCGUAGGUAACCUGCCUUUUAGCGGGGGAUAACUACUGGAAACGAUAGCUAAUACCGCAUAAUAAUGGCUGACACAUGGCGUUUAUGUGAAAGGGGCCAUUGCUCCACUAAAAGGUGGACUUCGGUUGUAUUAGUCAGUAGGUGAGGUAACGGCUCACCUAGGGGACGGUACAUAGCCGGACUGAAAGGGUGGUCGGGCCAACCUGGAACGGGACAACGGCCAAGCUCCCAAGGGGGGGAGCCGUAGGGGAUCUUCGGCAAUGGGGCGAAAGCCUGCCGAGCAACGCCCCGGGGGUGAAGAAGGGUUUCGGAUCGGUAAACCCCGUUUUUAGGCAAGAACGAGUGUGAGAGUGGAAAGUUCACGCUGUGACGGUACCUAAACAGAAAGCGACGGCUAACUACGUG